rnacentral:rRNA from 1 species
AACGAACGCUGGCGGCAUGCCUAACACAUGCAAGUCGAACGAAGCCUUCGGGCUUAGUGGCGCACGGGUGCGUAACGCGUGGGAAUCUGCCCCUUGCUUCGGAAUAACAGUUAGAAAUGACUGCUAAUACCGGAUGAAGUCUUCGGACCAAAGAUUUAUCGGCAAGGGAUGAGCCCGCGUAGGAUUAGGUAGUUGGUGGGGUAAAGGCCUACCAAGCCGACGAUCCUUAGCUGGUCUGAGAGGAUGAUCAGCCACACUGGGACUGAGACACGGCCCAGACUCCUACGGGAGGCAGCAGUGGGGAAUAUUGGACAAUGGACGCAAGUCUGAUCCAGCAAUGCCGCGUGAGUGAUGAAGGCCUUAGGGUUGUAAAGCUCUUAUACCAGGGAUGAUAAUGACAGUACCUGGAGAAUAAGCUCCGGCUAACUCCGUG